GGUGAGAUGGCCGAGUGGUUAUGGCGCUGCGUUCAGGACUAAACUUGAAUUUCAAUUCAAGAUCUCGAGCAAUCGAGAUUUAGAAAUUUCGCAGUGGAGCAAUCCGCGUGGGUUCGAGUCCCACUCUCAUCA